rnacentral:rRNA from 1 species
GGAGUUAGCCGGUGCUUCUUCUGUGAGUGAUGUCCUUCCUUCCGGCUAUUAACCCGCAGGCCUUCUUCCUCACUGAAAGUGCUUUACAACCCGAAGGCCUUCUUCACACACGCGGCAUGGCUGGAUCAGGGUUGCCCCCCAUUGUCCAAUAUUCCCCACUGCUGCCUCCCCGUAGGAGUCUGGGCCGUGUCUCAGUCCCAGUGUGGCUGAUCAUCCUCUCAGACCAGCUACGGAUCGUCGCCUUGGUGAGCCGUUACCUCACCAACCAGCUAAUCCGACAUAGGCUCAUCCGAUAGCGCGAGGCCCGAAGGUCCCCCGCUUUCCCCCCGUAGGGCGUAUGCGGUAUUAGCCUGGGUUUCCCCCAGGUUAUCCCCCACUACCGGGCAGAUUCCUAUGCAUUACUCACCCGUCCGCCGCUCGCCACCAGGGAGCAAGCUCCCCGUGCUGCCGCUCGACUUGCAUGUGUUAGGCCUGCCGCCAGCGUUCAAUCUGAGCCAGGAUCAAACUCUGA